rnacentral:rRNA from 1 species
UACGUAGGGGCAAGCGUUGUCCGGAUUUAUUGGGCGUAAAGAGCGUGUAGGCGGUUUGGUAGGUCCGUUGUGAAACUCGAGGCUCAACCUCGAGACGCCGAUGGAAACCAUCAGACUAGAGUCCGGAAGAGGAGAGUGGGAAUUCCUGGUGUAGCGGUGAAAUGCGCAGAUAUCAGGAGGAACACCGGUGGCGAAGGCGGGUCUCUGGGCCGAUAUUGACGCUGAGGAGUGAAAGCGUGGGGAGCGAACAGG